rnacentral:rRNA from 1 species
UCUUCGGCAAUGGACGAAAGUCUGACCGAGCAACGCCGCGUGAGUGAAGAAGGUUUUCGGAUCGUAAAACUCUGUUGUUAGAGAAGAACAAGGAUGAGAGUAGAACGUUCAUCCCUUGACGGUAUCUAACCAGAAAGCCACGGCUAACUACGUGCCAGCAGCCGCGGUAAUACGUAGGUGGCAAGCGUUGUCCGGAUGUAUUGGGCGUAAAGCGAGCGCAGGCGGUUUCUUAAGUCUGAUGUGAAAGCCCCCGGCUCAACCGGGGAGGGUCAUUGGAAACUGGGAGACUUGAGUGCAGAAGAGGAGAGUGGAAUUCCAUGUGUAGCGGUGAAAUGCGUAGAUAUAUGGAGGAACACCAGUGGCGAAGGCGGCUCUCUGGUCUGUAACUGACGCUGAGGCUCGAAAGCGUGGGGAGCGAACAGG